UACGGAGGGGCUAGCGUUGUUCGGAAUUACUGGGCGUAAAGCGCACGUAGGCGGCUUUGUAAGUUAGAGGUGAAAGCCCGGAGCUCAACUCCGGAAUUGCCUUUAAGACUGCAUCGCUUGAAUCAUGGAGAGGUGAGUGGAAUUCCGAGUGUAGAGGUGAAAUUCGUAGAUAUUCGGAAGGAACACCAGUGGCGAAGGCGACUCACUGGACAUGUAUUGACGCUGAGGUGCGAAAGCGUGGGGAGCAAACAGG
rnacentral:rRNA from 1 species